rnacentral:rRNA from 1 species
CCUACGGGUGGCAGCAGUGAGGAAUAUUGGUCAAUGGACGAGAGUCUGAACCAGCCAAGUAGCGUGAAGGAUGACUGCCCUAUGGGUUGUAAACUUCUUUUAUCUGGGAAUAAAAUGUUCCACGUGUGGGAUUUUGUAUGUACCAUAUGAAUAAGGAUCGGCUAACUCCGUGCCAGCAGCCGCGGUAAUACGGAGGAUCCGAGCGUUAUCCGGAUUUAUUGGGUUUAAAGGGAGCGUAGGUGGAUUGUUAAGUCAGUUGUGAAAGUUUGCGGCUCAACCGUAAAAUAGCAGUUGAAACUGGCAGUCUUGAGUACAGUAGAGGUGGGCGGAAUUCGUGGUGUAGCGGUGAAAUGCUUAGAUAUCACGAAGAACUCCGAUUGCGAAGGCAGUUCACUGGACUGCAACUGACACUGAGGCUCGAAAGUGUGGGUAUCAAACAGGAUUAGAUACCCCUGUAGUC